rnacentral:rRNA from 1 species
CAGUAGCCGCGGGAAUACGAGGGGGGCAAGCGUUGUUCGGAAUUAUUGGGCGUAAAGGGCGCGUAGGCGGAUGGCACAGUCAGAUGUGAAAUUCCCGGGCUUAACCUGGGGGCUGCAUUUGAUACGUGUGAUCUAGAGUGAGGAAGAGGGUUGUGGAAUUCCCAGUGUAGAGGUGAAAUUCGUAGAUAUUGGGAAGAACACCGGUGGCGAAGGCGGCAACCUGGUCCUUGACUGACGCUGAGGCGCGAAAGCGUGGGGAGCAAACAGGAUUAGAUACCCCGGUAGUCCCUGUCUCUUAUAC